rnacentral:rRNA from 1 species
CCCAGUGUAGCGGUGAAAUGCGUAGAUAUGGGAAAGAACAUCGGUGGCGAAAGCGUGCUACUGGGCUGAAACUGACACUGAGGGACGAAAGCUAGGGUAGCGAAAGGGAUUAGAUACCCCUGUAGUCCUAGCCGUAAACGAUGGAUACUAGGCGUGGCUUGUAUCGACNCGAGCCGUGCCGAAGCUAACGCGUUAAGUAUCCCGCCUGGGGAGUACGCACGCAAGUGUGAAACUCAAAGGAAUUGACGGGGGCCCGCACAAGCGGUGGAGUAUGUGGUUUAAUUCGAUGCAACGCGAAGAACCUUACCAAGGCUUGACAUCCCUGGAAUCCUGCGGAAACGUGGGAGUGCCUUAGGGAGCCAGGAGACAGGUGGUGCAUGGCUGUCGUCAGCUCGUGUCGUGAGAUGUUGGGUUAAGUCCCGCAACGAGCGCAACCCUCGUUUUUAGUUGCCAUCAUUAAGUUGGGCACUCUAGAGAGACUGCCGGUGACAAACCGGAGGAAGGUGGGGAUGACGUCAAGUCAUCAUGCCCCUUACGCCUUGGGCUACACACGUACUACAAUGGUCGGGACAACGGGCAGCGAGCUCGCGAGAGUAAGCGAAUCCCAUCAAACCCGGCCUCAGUUCAGAUUGCAGGCUGCAACUCGCCUGCAUGAAGGAGGAAUCGCUAGUAAUCGCAGGUCAGAAUACUGCGGUGAAUUCGUUCCCGGGCCUUGUACACACCGCCCGUCACACCAUGGGAGCUGGUCACGCCCGAAGUCGUUACUCUAACCUUAGGGAGGAGGGCGCCGAAGGCAGGGCUAGUGACUGGGGUGAAGUCGUAACAAGGUAGCCGUACCGGAAGGUGUGGCUGGAUCACCU